GAUAUAGCUCAGUGGUAGAGCACUUGCCUAGCAUGUACAAGGCCCUGGGUUCUAUCCCCAGCACA
rnacentral:tRNA from 1 species